GAUAUCAGACAAAGUGAGACAGAAAGAGGUGUUUUAUAAACCCUUUAACAUUUAACCCUUUAUAGGGCUUCUACACAUUCAAUAAACUUUGCUGGUAUCAGACAAAGUAUAGACGUCUCUAAUGAGACAUGAAAGGGUGUUUUAUAAACCCCUACAUACUUUACCCUGAAUAGGGCUAUAACAUACCAGCAACGUUUAUUGAAUGUGUAGAAGCCCUAUAAAGGGUUAAAUGUUAAAGGGUUUAUAAAACACCCCUUUCUGUCUCACUUUGUCUGAUAUC